rnacentral:lncRNA from 1 species
AUGGUUUUCCUUCUCUUUUAUCCUGUGUGUUUGAGGAGGACUUUGGAGCUCCCUGUUCAAGGAUCUACAGCUGCUGGUCCAGACAAAAUGGCACAGUCAUUUGCUGCAAACGACAUCUGCACGGAACUGGAAAAGAGUGAAAGAAAAGAAAAAACACAAACUUUGCAGGUCUUAUUUUUAACUCGGAGUCAGCAAGAAGUCCCGGUGCCGACUGCCGUGGGCGGUGGCUUUACAUUUCAACACACGUUCAGGACGGAGCAGAUCUACUGUCCCCGUGGGGGCUCGGGAAGGGCCGCCAGCAGCCCCCUGCCCCAGCGCCCACCUCCGCGGCCGCUGCAGCCGCCCUGGCCGCGCCGUAGGCCGAGCUCCUGGUGGCCACCGUGUCCCUGUGGCAGCGGGAGAGGCGCCCAGCCACCGGAGAGCCCCCGGGGAACCGGGGCCUGGCGGCUGCGCGCAGCCAGCGGCAGGCACGGACGGAGCAGGCCGGGCCUUCGGGGAUUUUCAGUUCUGGGGUUUUGUUUUCACGUCCGGCCUGGCUUUGGUCUCGAUCUAAGCUUUCCAACUGGAAGGAAGGCUUUGAAUUCCGGUGUUGCCUGA